UACAGAGACUGCAAGCGUUAUUCGGAUUCACUGGGCGUAAAGGGUGCGCAGGCGGUUGGGUGUGUCAGAUGUGAAAUCCCGAGGCUUAACCUCGGAACUGCGUCUGAAACUACUCGACUAGAGUACUGGAGAGGGAAACGGAAUUCACGGUGUAGCAGUGAAAUGCGUAGAUAUCGUGAGGAACACCAGAGGCGAAGGCGGUUCCUGGACAGUUACUGACGCUCAGGCACGAAAGCAUGGGGAGCAAACAGGG
rnacentral:rRNA from 1 species